AGAAAAGACUUCAGGAAGUGCACUGCCAACAGUCAUUAUAGAAGGAGACUCUUCUUCCAAAAAAUGACAUUUCUCCUCCUACUACAAUUUCUCUCUAGCUUCCAGCAUGGCAGGAAGCCUCCAAGUCAAGGCCUGCAGGGUUUCCCAUAACCCACUGGUUGAGGAAGAGAAUGGAGCCUUGAUGAGAAACAAAUCAGAAUGUGAUGCUGGAACUAGGCAGAAGUGAACGUUACUACAUCACAUUCCCCAGAGGUUUCAGUCCAUGGCUGGCUGGCUCCAAGGAAGAAACAUCCUUGAAAAAGGGCAUGGUGACAGAAAGCCCCUCAACUCCUGAUGUCUGAGAAGUAGAGAAGAAGAGCAGGAAAGGAAGAGGCCAGAGACCAGGAAUCCAUUACAAAGGUUCAUAGCUGAUUUCAGCGCUAUCUGGAGCUCUCAGAACCUCAGCCCCAGGCCCUCUAACAGUGACCUUGUCAUACUUCAGAUGCAUCUCUGUAUGGGCUGCUUUCCAACAGCACAGAAGAAGAAAUGAAAGUAAAAGAACAAAAAGAAAAAAAUGGACUGCCACCACUUGCUUAGAAAUUGGAAGGCAAAGUACCUCUGGGCUAAUAAACCUAACCUUUGACCUUGCUGUGGCUGCUUAUGUCCUUACUAGAACGAGAAGUUGGAUACCCCUCUUACUUUUCUUUUGGAAAGUUGGUCCUCUACACUGAUUUGCAGAAGCAAAUUUUGUCUCACAGUUUUGUGCCUUACAGUUUUUCCUCACAUGAGGGGCCCUUUGUAGCAGUGUGCAACUAUGGUGGCACAGAAGAUAAAAAUUUGUG
ensembl:lncRNA